rnacentral:lncRNA from 1 species
CAGAAAUAGCUUUUGCUGAGAGGAUGAUGAGGUUACGCAUCCUGAGCUGUCCUGGUCUCUAAAACUAGACUCACCCGUUUCAAAAGGAUUCUGCAGGUUUCCRGAGUCCACGUGGAUGUUUUGGAGGUCCUGCCGUAUGUGGCAUCUCUGCAGGGGUGAGAACAACUCAGCAGAUGCACUCGCCUGUGGAUCAGUCCCUACCUUUCUCCUGCUCAAAGACCAUGCAGAAAGCAAGAAUCAAGCGACUGAAAGAUUUAUGUUGGAACUAGAUCCCCAUGGAUCAGAACCUCCCAGCACAGUCGGACUUGUACCAAACAUAACUUCAGUCACCCACCCUUGGGAUGGAAACAGGCAGAGCAAACAAUGAAACAAGACUGUUUAUAAAGCCUUCAACACAUUAGGCAGUGGAGAAGAGCCCAAGUUUCCAUGUAAAGGCCUGAAUGGACAAGAAUGACGUGAAGCACAUGGAAAAUAUGGAAAAUGUGGAAUAAGUAAUAAAAUUAUAAAUAAAACAAAUACA